rnacentral:tRNA from 1 species
GGCAAGGUAGGAUAAAGUUAGUCCGGGGGGUUCAUGUCCCCCAGGUGGGUUAGACCUUUGUUA